UAACCUGCCUGUAAGACUGGGAUAACUCCGGAAAACCGGAGCUAAUACCGGAUAGUUCCUUGAACCGCAUGGUUCAAGGAUGAAAGACGGUUUCGGCUGUCACUUACAGAUGGACCCGCGGCGCAUUAGCUAGUUGGUGAGGUAACGGCUCACCAAGGCGACGAUGCGUAGCCGACCUGAGAGGGUGAUCGGCCACACUGGGANCUGAGACACGGCCCAGACUCCUACGGGAGGCAGCAGUAGGGAAUCUUCCGCAAUGGACGAAAGUCUGACGGAGCAACGCCGCGUGAGUGAUGAAGGUUUUCGGAUCGUAAAGCUCUGUUGUUAGGGAAGAACAAGUGCAAGAGUAACUGCUUGCACCUUGACGGUACCUAACCAGAAAGCCACGGCUAACUACGUGCCAGCAGCCGCGGUAAUACGUAGGUGGCAAGCGUUGUCCGGAAUUAUUGGGCGUAAAGGGCUCGCAGGCGGUUUCUUAAGUCUGAUGUGAAAGCCCCCGGCUCAACCGGGGAGGGUCAUUGGAAACUGGGAAACUUGAGUGCAGAAGAGGAGAGUGGAAUUCCACGUGUAGCGGUGAAAUGCGUAGAGAUGUGGAGGAACACCAGUGGCGAAGGCGACUCUCUGGUCUGUAACUGACGCUGAGGAGCGAAAGCGUGGGGAGCGAACAGGAUUAGAUACCCUGGUAGUCCACGCCGUAAACGAUGAGUGCUAAGUGUUAGGGGGUUUCCGCCCCUUAGUGCUGCAGCUAACGCAUUAAGCACUCCGCCUGGGGAGUACGGUCGCAAGACUGAAACUCAAAGGAAUUGACGGGGGCCCGCACAAGCGGUGGAGCAUGUGGUUUAAUUCGAAGCAACGCGAAGAACCUUACCAGGUCUUGACAUCCUCUGACAACCCUAGAGAUAGGGCUUUCCCUUCGGGGACAGAGUGACAGGUGGUGCAUGGUUGUCGUCAGCUCGUGUCGUGAGAUGUUGGGUUAAGUCCCGCAACGAGCGCAACCCUUGAUCUUAGUUGCCAGCAUUCAGUUGGGCACUCUAGGUGACUGCCGGUGACAAACCGGAGGAAGGUGGGGAUGACGUCAAUCAUCAUGCCCCUU
rnacentral:rRNA from 1 species